GUUUGUGCCCAUCUUCUGCUGGUGACUUUCCCGACACACGGCUCUGCACGCGGUGAUUCCAAAGACGCCCUGCUAACGUGAAGAAAUUCUGAGCAAGCCGACCUUCUGGAAGACACUGUGCUGCUUCUUGUGCAUUUAUCACCUGUUCGGCUGCAGGACGACCUGCUUGAACUUACCUCCCUGAGAAUCACUGGAGGGGAGCAGCGGGGCUGGAAGUGACCGACCGAUGGUGCUGGUGACAUUUCUCCAGGGUCCAGUGUGAACUACAGAGAACAGCAGCAGUUUUUGGUUGAAGAGGUGGCUCAGUGAUAAGAUUCCUUAUUGUACCAUCAUGAGGACCAGAGUUUGGAUCCCAGCACCCACAUCACAGCUCUCCAGAUCCACAAACCUAAUUUCCUUCAGUGGCCACAAGAGGGAACUGUUUAACCUUAAACGAAAUGUAUACACAUUUGUGUACUAAAACUUGAGGUAAAUUACUCAAAUAACCUGGCCUAGGAAAUUUAAGAACCAUUGAAAUAAACAAAACAUACAGUGUGUCCAAAGAGAGAAGCAAGGGGGUCGGAGAGCGGAGUGGACGGGACGGCCUUCAAGAUGAGCAUAGCUGUGACCCAUCCCUGGGGAGUCGGUAACCUUGGAGCUCCCUGCUGGCAGGACCCUUGGCUGACUUAGGAAACUCUUAGAGAAGUGUCUUCAGCCACACCAUCGGGUUGGCCUUCAGGUCCGAGGGCAUCCCUUCCCAUGCUUACAGGCUGUCACCGCAGGGAAGCUGCUCCUUGGGGGUCACUGUGGCCUCCACUCCGGGUCAAGACUUGGUUCACACAGCUGUGUUCGGAGUCCACAUGGAGCUGUUUCCCAGCAAACCAUGCAUGCAUCAGCAGGAAGUGGGUGCUUUGGGAAUGGUCCAGAUCUUCACGUGUCUGGCGAAGAGCCAGGGGGCGUCAUUUUGGGUUGGCGUGGAAGUCACCCUUUUACGGUCAUUCACAGAAUGGCUGAGUGGUGAAAGAUUCACCUCUUGCCUUUUUAUAGCAACUCGGACGGAAAAAGAAGCUUCCUGGCUGGAAGUGAGACACUGAGGGUGGACGUGUAGUCCGUGUUUGCAAGGCCUUGGGUCCCAUCCCCAGAAUCACCAAACUAUGAAAACUAUGACAUUAGAAUUUUUAGAGCCUGAAAAUUGCACGAUCAGAAGAACUUCAAAAUAACCACCAAACUGACACCACCAAAUGGAAUGAAACUGCUCAGAAUGUAGACUUUGUAAAAUCUGAUAAAAAUGGAAGCCAAAGGCAGUAAAAAUCAUAAACAAACAAACCAUAUAUACAGACAGCCAAGCAGAGAGAUAUAUAGCAGCCAGCUCCUCCAUAUUGCUGUUGUUUGAAGGAUCCCAGAGGGGGCCACGUACAGAAGCUUCCUUUCCAUUAAGGAGUGUGCUGAGGGAUGCAAAUGUCAACGGUCGUGUGACGUAACCAAAGUGUGAGACAUCCCUUCCCUUUUCUUCACUGGCAACUGUUUACUUCCUGAGUAAACCACCAGCUUCUACCACCGGCCCACCAGCUCGAACUGGGGUGACCCGGGAACAGUGGGCAGAAUGACCGGCACUCCCAAAGGCCACAGGGCAGGCGAGCAGUCUUCCAGGCUCUAGACACAGUGUGAUGUAGAAACACAGGCAGUGAACUGGGUUCCAUGCCAGAGCAAGAGGAUGGGAGAGUGCUUCAUCACCGCACACGUAGUGACUAGAAGCCACUGUCGGGACCCCUAUCUGUCUUGGAAACUGAGGCUCUGAGGAGCUUCUGCUUGGCGUGGACUAGUCUAACGUUUACAGCACUAGCUAGUGUAACUGGGAGACUUUAUGAGUUCUUGCUAACUCCUUUGAAAAAACAGUAAUAAUCCCAUUAUACAACUUACAUACCUUCAUAAAAAUAACUACAUUCUCCAGAGCCAAAGGAGUUGCAUAAGAAGGGUGCUGUUUUGGAAUUCCGCAGUUCCUUUCAGUGUCGACUGUAAUGGAAGACAGCUGAGUUUCCUAUCUGCUGUCGGCUUAAUUGGAAUCUGUGGAAAUAUGUUGUCGUGGUUGAAGCUGAUGAAGAAAAUCUGGCCUCCCCCAGCUAUGUAAGUGGAAAGGGGGUGCAGUUAAGCAGUCUUUUAGAUAAUGAUGGCUUUGUUUGAGCCCCUUCCUAAGUGGUGUUUCUUAAGUUCUUAGAAGGGGCUGGAGAGAUGGUUCAGCAACGAAGAACACUGGCUGCUCUUG